UCUGUCUCCAAUCGACACCACGAGACAAACUGUCCCUUUACUUCUCACUCUACACUGUGUCCUUUCUUCUCUUCUCAGCUUAUUUCCCAAAGACCUAAGGCUCUAAUGCUUCUUUCUGCUCCCAGAAAAUGGAAACUCAAUGCCUGGGAAAAGCACAAGAAACAACUUCAGGCUAACUCUGGUCACUGCGGCUGCUCUUUGAGUUGCUCCUUCAGGACGCCAGUCUCUGUGGCUCUCCACACAUGCAGGGCACUGCUGGAGGACAGAACGAUCAGAGAUAGUAAAGGAAACAAUAGAGAGAAGAACAUAAGAAAAAACUCAGGAGGAUCAAAGAGCAGUCUGAAUCCCUAGUCUCUCCUGUCUAGACGCCAGAGACUGUCUCCAUACUCUUAGCACACAAGCUGGGAAAGCAAAGCCAAGUCCAUUCCUUCACAUGGCCCCAGCACUAAAGUUAAGUGAAGUACCUUUAUUCCUACAAACUUGUUUAAGGUGUUCAGUUUCUCCCUCCAGGGCCUUUUCCCAAACAUUCACAGUAUCGGUUUUCGGUCGGCUAAAACCACCUUAAAACAAACACACACAAACACACACAAGCUGCUCUCGCUACGGUAUGUAUGUCAUAGGAACAUCUGAAUUAACCUACAGUUUACAAUCCUCCUCCUGGUUAUUUUCCUCAGAAUGUGAAUCUGAAGUUUUUAAUUGCUUAGAGACCGAGGGAAAACAUACACUUCUCUUAUUGUUUAAUGAGUUUCGUUAGUGCCAUUAAUUCAGCACGUAUUGAGCUGAUGGAGUGACAAAUAGCUGAGAGAGCAGUGAAAGAUCACAUGCAAGCAGUGCAGGCCCAUUUAAACAGGACAAUACAAUCAUGUCAAAGAUGAACGAGGGGAUGAAACGAGAGAACAUGGGAGGGGAGAGAUAUCUAUGAACAGUGAGAACUACAGUUUAUCAUCUAUGGGACAUGUAAAUAAACAAAUAGAAAGAAUGAACAAAUGAAAUAACAAGGAGAGAAAUUAGGCAACACAAGAUUAGGGGGACAAAAUAGGGAGCUGAUUGUUGUGAAGAAUAGAGCUGGUAUGGAUGGACUGUUUAAUGAUAGACAGAUAAGAUGUCUUUACACUGUAAAAGUGACACAGAAGCAGCAGCUGACAUAAGAUACACACCUAAUGCACCUUGCAUAAGGUUUGCUUUGGAAACUAUAUGAAUUAUAAGAAGCACAAAUGCAAAAUGCAUCUGCUACUUUAUUCCCAUGCACUUAUAAGACACAAGACAUUGAUUAGGCUACUUCAAACAUUUGCAAUGUAAGUCAUCUUUGUUUAUACAGUAGAUUUGCAGCAUGGUAGUCAUAAACACUGUAUCUGUAUAAAAAGUUGUACAAUUCUCAG
ensembl:lncRNA